ACGGGAGGCAGCAGUGGGGAAUAUUGCACAAUGGAGGAAACUCUGAUGCAGCGAUGCCGCGUGAGGGAAGAAGGUUUUCGGAUUGUAAACCUCUGUCUUUGGGGACGAUAAUGACGGUACCCAAGGAGGAAGCUCCGGCUAACUACGUGCCAGCAGCCGCGGUAAUACGUAGGGAGCAAGCGUUAUCCGGAAUUACUGGGUGUAAAGGGAGUGUAGGCGGGACUGCAAGUCAGAUGUGAAAAUUAUGGGCUCAACUCAUAACCUGCAUUUGAAACUGUAGUUCUUGAGUGAAGUAGAGGUAAGCGGAAUUCCUAGUGUAGCGGUGAAAUGCGUAGAUAUUAGGAGGAACAUCAGUGGCGAAGGCGGCUUACUGGGCUUUUACUGACGCUGAGGCUCGAAAGCGUGGGGAGCAAACAGGAUUAGAUACCCUGGUA
rnacentral:rRNA from 1 species